rnacentral:rRNA from 1 species
AACCAGCUCUUCAAGUGGUCGGGAUAAUUAUUGGGCUUAAAGUGUCCGUAGCCUGUUUAGUAAGUUCUUGGUAAAAUCGGGUAGCUUAACUAUCCGCGUGCUAGGAAUACUGCUAUACUAGAGGGCGGGAGAGGUCUGAGGUACUACAGGGGUAGGGGUGAAAUCUUAUAAUCCUUGUAGGACCACCAGUGGCGAAGGCGUCAGACUGGAACGCGCCUGACGGUGAGGGACGAAAGCCAGGGGAGCGAACCGGAUUAGAUACCCGCGUA